rnacentral:sRNA from 1 species
GCCUGGUGCAGUGGCAUGCGCCUGUAAUCCCAGCUACUCAGAAGGCUGAGCCCAGAGGAUAGCUUGAGUCCAGGAGUUCUGGGCUGCAGUGUGCUAUGCCGAUCGGGUGUCUGCACUAAGUUUGGCAUCAAUAGGGUGACCUCCCAGGAGCGGGGGAACACUAGGUUGCCUAAGGAGGAGUGAACUGGCCCAGGUCGGAAAAAACUAGGCUGGGAGCAUUGUCAUAUCAAGGGGUAAAGUGCCAGUGUAGCAGGUAUAAGGGCCCUGAGUUCAAAUCCCAAUACCGA